UAUGGGCAGCUCCCCACCUGACCCUGAGGUACACGCACCGGGUAGCCGUUGAGAGGCUGAAAAUAGAGGUUUGUGUCCGUGAUGCACACGUGUCCAGGAUUAGUCACCAGAGGCGUCACCAUUUCUGCUUUGCAUUCCAUGUGCAGCUUUUCAGAAAUGUUUUGGAACCUGAAAAUAUGUUUUUCAGCAAAAGAGCUGGUUGGUGGGCACAUAAUCAUGUUUGUUUUAGGAAGAUAACUUUGUGGACCAUAUGAAGAGGCUAGAGGAAUUCCAGCUGAACCAAGGAGAGCUAACGGGGGUCUCGGAAAAUGCAAUGGCAGUAAAAUGUAGAGAAACCAUUAA